GAUGAACGCUGGCGGCGUGCCUAAUACAUGCAAGUCGAGCGAACAGACGAGGAGCUUGCUCCUCUGACGUUAGCGGCGGACGGGUGAGUAACACGUGGAUAACCUACCUAUCAGACUGGGAUAACUUCGGGAAACCGGAGCUAAUACCGGAUAAUAUAUUGAACCGCAUGGUUCAAUAGUGAAAGACGGUUUUGCUGUCACUUAUAGAUGGAUCCGCGCCGCAUUAGCUAGUUGGUAAGGUAACGGCUUACCAAGGAAACGAUGCGUAGCCGACCGGAGAGGGUGAUCGGCCACACUGGAACUUGAACACGGUCCAGACUCCUACGGGAGGCAGCAGUAGGGAAUCUUCCGCAAUGGGCGAAAGCCUGACGGAGCAACGCCGCGUGAGUGAUGAAGGUCUUCGGAUCGUAAAACUCUGUUAUUAGGGAAGAACAAAUGUGUAAGUAACUAUGCACGUCUUGACGGUACCUAAUCAGAAAGCCACGGCUAACUACGUG
rnacentral:rRNA from 1 species